rnacentral:tRNA from 1 species
CCUUGGUUAGCUCAGUUGGUUGGGCGCCAGACUGCAGAGCGGGAAGUCGUGGGUUCAAAUCCCGGCCGGACCAACAACCAGGGU